CACAGCAGGGGGUCUAUAUGUACAUAACAACAGUUACACAGCAGGAGGUCUAUAUAUACAUAACAACACAGCAGGGGGUCUAUAAUGUACAUAACAACAGGUACACAGCAGGGGGUCUAUAUGUACAUAACAACAGUUACACAGCAGGAGGUCUAUAUGCACAUAACAACAGUUACACAGCAGGAGGUCUAUAUGCACAUAACAACAGUUACACAGCAGGAGGUCUAUAUGUACAUAACAACAGUUACACUGCAGGGGGUCUAUAUUUACAUAACAACACAGAAGGGGGUCUAUAUAUGUACAUAACAACAGUUACACAGCAGGAGGUCUAUAUGUACAUAACAACAGUUAUACAGCAGGGGGUCUAUAUGUACAUAACAACAGUUACACAGCAG
rnacentral:lncRNA from 1 species